AGGGAGGUGAAAAAGCAUGUCAAAAUCAAUACUUUAUUUAACCCAUGGAUCUGGCAUGCAAAACUGGAAUUUGUGUCCACGGAUUGCCUGGCGCCCUAUCGAACCAAACAUCGGCUCUCCCUCAAAAGCCUUCCGAAACCCGGGCUAUCUUAUACCUCUAAUGAACAAGAGCAGCUUGUCGGCAGCUAAAUAGUCAAUUGAGCAUCCCUAUCUUCACAUAGCAUCGGUGAAGAAUCAGAAGUGCAAUGUGACAGAGCACCUUUGAAUAACCACAAAAGAAAUUGCAAAACAUUCCUCAAACAGUGGAGCCCAUGAAAUG
rnacentral:sRNA from 1 species